UACGUAGGGUGCAAGCGUUGUCCGGAAUUAUUGGGCGUAAAGAGCGUGUAGGCGGCCAGAUAGGUCUGCUGUGAAAACUCGAGGCUCAACCUCGAGCUGUCGGCGGAAACCAUUUGGCUAGAGUCCGGAAGAGGAAAGUGGAAUUCCUGGUGUAGCGGUGAAAUGCGCAGAUAUCAGGAAGAACACCCGUGGCGAAGGCGGCUCUCUGGGACGGUACUGACGCUGAGACGCGAAAGCGUGGGGAGCGAACAGG
rnacentral:rRNA from 1 species